CUUUUUUUUUUUUUCAGAGAGAGAGAGUGGGAGAGAGCGAGUGCAGGCAGACAGAAUGGCAGGCAGAGGCAGAGGGAGAAGCAGGCAAGCAGGCUCCCUGCUGAGCAAGGAGCCCGAUGUGGGACUCGAUCCCAGGACGCUGGGAUCAUGACCUGAGCCGAAGGCAGCUGCUUAACCAACUGAGCCACCCAGGCGUCCCACGUGAUUUGUUUCUUAACCACCAUUUGUUGGAAUUUACCAAAUGCCAAGUCCUAUGUUUGGAGACAGGCUUUCAUGUAAGCCCCAAAGGACCCCAUUUAUGCUGUGACACCAGGAGACAUCUGGUUCUAUCUGCCAUCUAACCAUCCACUGAGACAUCCACCAAGAGUUGGACUCUUGUUCCUGGGUCCACACAAGUCACCCCUGUCAUCCCUCAUUCUCAUGGACAAGAGGUCUGAUUCUCUCUGUAUGUCAGAUUCAGUCCCCACUCCCCAGCUCCUCCUGGGCCACAUGGAGCCAUAGAAGACUUGGUGAGGCCAAGGUCCUGGUUACAUACAUGGAGAGAGCCACUCUUGUCAAGCAAUGGCAGCUAAGAAAACUGCAGCUGAGACCAGAUAUCACUGAAACCAGCACCAUUUGAUGAUACACUCAGAAUUGAUAGCCAGCAGAAACAGAAGAAGUCUUAAAGGCCCAAGACUGAUUAAAUCCCUCUAAAAAGGGAGGGGUUUUGCCCCAAACUGUCAGAAUCUUUAGACACUGACCCCUCUACUUCUGAUCACUUCAAAAAGGCAGCUGUCAUGAAAAGCUCUGCCCGAUUGAUCUUGGAAGAGACCAAAGAUCCUCUACUGCUUGAACAUAAUAGACGGUAAGCUCAGGGAGCCAACCCAGGCCAAACUGAGGCCUCAUCUCAACUGUGCAUCCACAGCCUGGCUUUGUGUUUGGUUUGUCAUCUUCCUACCCCCUGUUCUAGUUUGUUGUAUGACUUGUCUUUUGCUUUGCUUUGUGUGACAUGUAAGAAGCCAAGUUAGACACAGGAUGAAAUGUCAUUGAGUUUGGAAUCCUAAACCUGCUUUAUCAUUAUGCUUACCUUGCUUUAUGACUGAAUAAAUCUGACAUGUGAAAAG
rnacentral:lncRNA from 1 species